ACCUGGAGCCGGCGGGAGCGGGUCAGCAGCUCCAGGAGCCGCUUCGCAGCCACCCCGCCCCGGCGCGCUCUGUUGCGUUCCCGCCCUCUGUCUCCGGUCUCGCCGGGACGCUCUGCCUCUCCUUGCCUCCCCUCGCACUCUUUAUUUUCAGUAAUAAAUGCACGCCAGCGCACUAUGCUCAACGCUUCACAAAGCUCCCUCAGCGCCUGGCACGGAGCGGGAACUCACACCCGGGACACUGAACUAAGGAGGCUGGUUUCCACUGAUUCCUGCCGGGCGGCCUUCUAACCCUCUGCACUCCCAGCAUGGCCCUGGCCCAGAUUCUGACCAAGGCACAGGGAAUGGCAUGUGAGGAUAUACCCAGAAAGAAGGCUCUCACCAAGAACCCGACCAUGCCAGCACCCUGACCCUGAUGUCAGACUUCCAGCCUCAAGAACCAUGAGAAAUAAAAGUUUGUUGUUUAAGCCAAAAAAAGAAAAAAGAAAAAAAAUACCAAAUUUUACACUUUAAAUAUAUGCAGUUUAUUGUAUGUCACUUAUCUAUCA